AGUCGAACGGCGGCACGGACUUCGGUCUGGUGGCGAGUGGCGAACGGGUGAGUAAUGUAUCGGAACGUGCCUAGUAGCGGGGAUAACUACGCGAAAGCGUAGCCAUUACCGCAUACGGGCCCUUCGGGGGAAAGCGGGGGACCUUCGGGCCUCGCACUAUUAGAGCGGCCGAUAUCGGAUUAGCUAGUUGGUGGGGUAACGGCUCACCAAGGCGACGAUCCGUG
rnacentral:misc_RNA from 1 species